UUAUUGGUUCCUCGCAACGGUGUUCAGCUUACUUGGUCAGGUUCGGAAGAAAGCAGCCUGAGUUGAAAUUUCUGUGUGCCGAGGGGUGCUGGUAACACC
rnacentral:SRP_RNA from 1 species